rnacentral:tRNA from 1 species
GGAGAGAUGCUCGAGUGGUUGAAGAGGCACGCCUGGAAAGCGUGUAUACCCCAAAAGGGUAUCCGGGGUUCGAAUCCCCGUCUCUCCG